CUUACGUGAACUGUGAUUGGCUCGCGGGAGCCUGAAUUUAAAGGCACCGCGCCGUCUAGGGGCUGGAGUAAGGGAAGAGGUCUGUAGAGUUCGUUGCGGAGUCAGAUCACUCAGGUAGGUUUGUUUGUUUGUUUAUUUAUUUAUUUAUUUAUUUAUUUAUUUAUUUAUUUUCUUUCAGAUAUGCGCUGGAAGAAACUGAGAAAUUACCUAGCCUAGUCCUGGUCAUCCGCUACUUUCAGGAGCCCAAAGAGAUUGAGUCACUAGCUCAACUCCACACUAUACUCUUCCAGAGACUAGGAAAGAGUCUCCAAACCCUGGAGCUAGCUGAGACAGCUUCAGAUUCCACAGCAGCCCUAUCUCUCGCCACUACCUCCCUGCCCCAGCAGAGAAGGAGAGCAAAGGAAACUAACAUUUACUGAAUGCUUACUACACCCAAGUACAUCGGGAGAAACAAAUGUAACAAAUGACUUGCAGAGAGUUCAGUACAUCCACAUAAACAAGAUGGUAACAGUACAGGAACAAUGAGGAAGUAAGUAGAUGUUUGUUCC
rnacentral:lncRNA from 1 species